rnacentral:tRNA from 1 species
AUUUAUAUAGUUUAAAAAAAACCUUACAUUUUCAUUGUGAAAAUAAAUACUCUUCAUUUUAUAAAUU